rnacentral:rRNA from 1 species
UACGAGGGGGGCUAGCGUUGUUCGGAAUUACUGGGCGUAAAGCGCACGUAGGCGGACUACUAAGUCAGGGGUGAAAUCCCGGGGCUCAACCCCGGAACUGCCUUUGAUACUGAUAGUCUCGAGUCCGGAAGAGGUGAGUGGAAUUCCGAGUGUAGAGGUGAAAUUCGUAGAUAUUCGGAGGAACACCAGUGGCGAAGGCGGCUCACUGGUCCGGUACUGACGCUGAGGUGCGAAAGCGUGGGGAGCAAACAGG